rnacentral:rRNA from 1 species
AUUGAACGCUGGCGGCAGGCCUAACACAUGCAAGUCGAGCGAGCGGCGGACGGGUGAGUAAUGUCUGGGAAACUGCCUGAUGUAGGGGGAUAACUACUGGAAACGGUAGCUACUACCGCAUAUCAUAUGAUGUGCCCAGAUGGGAGUAGCUAGUAGGUGGGGUAACGGCUCACCUCGGCGACGAUCCCUAGCUGGUCUGAGAGGAUGACCAGCCACACUGGGACUGAGACACGGCCCAGACUCCUACGGGAGGCAGCAGUGGGGAAUAUUGCGCAAUGGGCGCAAGCCUGACGCAGCCAUGCCGCGUGAGUGAAGAAGGCCUUCGGGUUGUAAAGUUCUUUCAGCGGGGAGGCGUUACCCGCAGAAGAAGCACCGGCUAACUCCGUGCCAGCAGCCGCGGUAAUAC